rnacentral:rRNA from 1 species
CGUAGGGGGCAAACGUUGUCCGGAUUUACUGGGUGUAAAGGGUGCUCAGGCGGUUUUGUAAGUCAGAAGUGAAAUCCUAGGGCUUAACUCUGGAACUGCUUUUGAUACUGCAAGGCUUGAAUAUGGAAGAGGAGGGCGGAAUUUCUGGUGUAGCAGUGAAAUGCGUAGAUAUCAGAAAGAACACCAGUGGCGAAGGCGGCCCUCUGGUCCAUUAUUGACGCUAAAGCACGAAAGCGUGGGGAGCAAACAGGAUUAGAUACCCUGGUAGUCCACGCCUUAAACGAUGAAUACUAGACGUUGGGGUUAAACUCAGUGUCGCAGCUAACGCAUUAAGUAUUCCACCUGGGGAGUACGAUCGCAAGGUUG